AGAGUUUGAUCAUGGCUCAGAACGAACGCUGGCGGCAGGCUUAACACAUGCAAGUCGAGCGCGUGGCAACACGAGCGGCAGACGGGUGAGUAACGCGUGGGAAUCUACCGGGACCCUACGGAAUAACGCAUGGAAACGUGUGCUAAUACCGUAUACGCCCCUACGGGGGAAAGAUUUAUCGGGGUUUGAUGAGCCCGCGUUGGAUUAGCUAGUUGGUGGGGUAAAGGCCUACCAAGGCGACGAUCCAUAGCUGGUCUGAGAGGAUGAUCAGCCACAUUGGGACUGAGACACGGCCCAAACUCCUACGGGAGGCAGCAGUGGGGAAUAUUGGACAAUGGGCGCAAGCCUGAUCCAGCCAUGCCGCGUGAGUGAUGAAGGCCCUAGGGUUGUAAAGCUCUUUCACCGGAGAAGAUAAUGACGGUAUCCGGAGAAGAAGCCCCGGCUAACUUCGUGCCAGCAGCCGCGGUAAUACGAAGGGGGCUAGCGUUGUUCGGAAUUACUGGGCGUAAAGCGCACGUAGGCGGACAUUUAAGUCAGGGGUGAAAUCCCGGAGCUCAACUCCGGAACUGCCUUUGAUACUGGGUGUCUUGAGUGUGGAAGAGGUGAGUGGAAUUCCGAGUGUAGAGGUGAAAUUCGUAGAUAUUCGGAGGAACACCAGUGGCGAAGGCGGCUCACUGGUCCAUUACUGACGCUGAGGUGCGAAAGCGUGGGGAGCAAACAGGAUUAGAUACCCUAGUAGUCC
rnacentral:rRNA from 1 species